GAUGAACGCUGGCGGCGUGCCUAAUACAUGCAAGUCGAGCGAACGGACGAGAAGCUUGCUUCUCUGAUGUUAGCGGCGGACGGGUGAGUAACACGUGGAUAACCUACCUAUAAGACUGGGAUAACUUCGGGAAACCGGAGCUAAUACCGGACAAUCUUUUGAACCGCAUGGUUCAAAAGUGAAAGACGGUCUUGCUGUCACUUAUAGAUGGAUCAGCGCUGCAUUAGCUAGUUGGUAAGGUAGCGGCUUACCAAGGCAACGGUGGGUAGCCGACCUGAGAGGGUGAGCGGCAAAAGGGGGACUGAGGUACGGGCGAGACUGCUAAGGGAGGCAGGAGUGGGGAAUAGUGCAGAAUGGGUGGAAGCAUGAUGCAGCAACGCAGCGGGCUGGAUGACGGCCUUCGGGUUGUAAACAGAAUUCGCCUGUGACGAAGGGUGAGGGACGGUAAUGGGUAAAGAAGCACCGGCUAACUACGUG
rnacentral:rRNA from 1 species